GACGACGCUGGCGGCGUGCCUAAUACAUGCAAGUAGAACGAGUGGCGAACGGGUGAGUAACGCGUGGUAACCUGCCUCAUAGCGGGGGAUAACUAUUGGAAACGAAAGCUAAUACCGCAUACCAUCAGAUGUGCCCGGAUGGGAUUAGCUAGUAGGUGAGGGAAAGGCUCACCUAGGCGACGAUCCCUAGCUGGUCUGAGAGGAUGACCAGUCACACUGGAACUGAGACACGGUCCAGACUCCUACGGGAGGCAGCAGUGGGGAAUAUUGCACAAUGGGCGAAAGCCUGAUGCAGCCAUGCCGCGUGUAUGAAGAAGGCCUUCGGGUUGUAAAGUACUUUAAGCGGGGAGGCGUUACCCGCAGAAGAAGCACCGGCUAACUCCGUGCCAGCCGCCGCGGUAAUUC
rnacentral:rRNA from 1 species